CGCAUAAUCUCUACGGAGAAAAGCAAGGGGAUCGCAAGACCUUGCGCUCUUGGAGCGGCCGAUGCCUGAUUAGCUAGUUGGUGAGGUAAAGGCUUACCAAGGCGACGAUCAGUAGCUGGUCUGAGAGGACGACCAGCCACACUGGGACUGAGACACGGCCCAGACUCCUACGGGAGGCAGCAGUGGGGAAUUUUGGACAAUGGGGGAAACCCUGAUCCAGCCAUGCCGCGUGAGUGAAGAAGGCCUUCGGGUUGUAAAGCUGUUUCAGCCGGAACGAAACGGUCACGGUUAAUAACUGUGACUACUGACGGUACCGGAAGAAGAAG
rnacentral:rRNA from 1 species